rnacentral:rRNA from 1 species
GUACNCCUGNCCAUGUCUAUNGUUUGAAAGAUGGUUCUGCUAUCCUCUUGGAUGGACCUGCGGUGCAUUAACUAGUUGGUAAGGUAACGGCUUACCAAGGCAAUGAUGCNUANCCGANUUGAGAGACUGAUCGGCCACAUUGGGACUGANACACGGCCCAAACUCCUACGGGGAGGCAGCAGUAGGGAAUCUUCCACAAUGGACGAAAGUCUGAUGGAGCAACGCCGCGUGAGUGAAGAAGGGUUUCGGCUCGUAAAGCUCUGUUGGUAGUGAAGAAAGAUAGAGGUAGUAACUGGCCUUUAUUUGACGGUAAUUACUUAGAAAGUCACGGCUAACUACGUGCCAGCAGCCGCGGUAAUACCAUA